rnacentral:tRNA from 1 species
GCGGGCGUAGCUUAAUGGUAAAGCUCCUGCCUUCCAAGCAGAUAACGGGGGUUCGAUUCCCCCCGCCCGCU